rnacentral:tRNA from 2 species
GGGGCGGUGGCGGAAUUGGCAGACGCAGAGGACUUAAAAUCCUCCGGUGAAUAACCUUGUGGGUUCAAGUCCCACCCGCCCCACAA